rnacentral:rRNA from 1 species
CGCGUAGGCGGGUUUUCAAGUCUGUGGUGAAAUCCUCCAGCUUAACUGGAGAAGUGCCGUGGAUACUGGAGACCUCGAGGAGGGUAGGGGCAUCUGGAACAGCCGGUGGAGCGGUGAAAUGCGUUGAUAUCGGCUGGAACUCCGAUGGCGAAGGCAAGGUGCUGGACCCUAUCUGACGCUGAGGCGCGAAAGCCAGGGGAGCGAACGGGAUUAGAUACCCCGGUAGUCCUGGCCCUAAACGAUGAGAACUAGGUAGUGGACUUACAUGGGUUCACUGUCGAAGCAAAAGUGCUAAGUUCUCCGCCUGGGGAGUAUGGUCGCAAGGCUGAA